rnacentral:lncRNA from 1 species
CCAAAGAACCAUCGAAUGAGCUGCUAGUCAUUAUUUGUCUCAAGUAAAGAAACCACAAAUCAUGGGGAAUCCUCUAAGAAAGAGGAGGUUCAGAAGUACAGAUGGACCUUGCAGUCAGUGCUGUGGCACCCCAAGGUGAAGGAAACCAGGCUUUUGUCUGAGUUGGAUCCUGCUAGGAGGCCGAGGUUGGGGACCAGUCAGACCAGUCAAUUCCUGAAAACCACCAGAUUGUUCAAGCAGAGAAGGUUGAUGUUGGGACUGGAGUGAGAACAAGAUGGCAGCUACUGGAUGCUGAUAAAGACAAGGUCAGAUGUGCAAACACUAGCCCUUCCCUGGUCAAUAUUAGUGUGUGAAGACCAAGACAAGAGCAUGUCUGUAUUCCUAGGAAGGAACUGGCAGCCAUGGACACGCAGACGGCUUCUCUGAACAGGUGCUCCAAAAGAAAAGCCUUCCUAAAUUAUUUGUGAAAGCAAAUUUCACUGCAG